rnacentral:lncRNA from 1 species
UUCUUUGCUAGCUAGCUAUAAUUCUUUUUUUUUUUUUUUUUGAGACAGAGUGUUGUCUUGUCCGGGCUGGAAUGCAGUGGCUCGAUCUCAGCUCACUGCAACUUCUGCCUCCUGGGUUCAAGCGAUUCUCCUGUCUCAGCCUCCUGAGUAGCUGGGAUUACAGGCAUGUGCCACCACACCUGGCUAGUUUUUGUAUUUUUAGUAGAGACGGGGUUUCACCAUGUUGGCCAGGCUUAUCUAGAGCUCCUGACCUCAAGUGAUCCACCUGCCUCGGCCUCCCAAAGUGCUGGGAUUACAGGUGUGAGCCAUCGCGCCCAGCCUGCUAGCUAUAAUUCUUUGAUAAAUUAUGAAUUCAGGUCUUUACUUUUAGGAGGUCUGUGUUAAUCUGUUGUGUUGCUAUAAAGAAAUACCUAACCUAGCUUAGGGAACAUAGUGAGAUCCCAUCUCUAAAAAACAAAUUAGUUGGACACAGUGGCAUGCACUUGUAGUCCCAGCUACUCGGGAGGCUGAGGUGGGCGGAUCACUUUAGCCCAGGAGUUCGAGGCUGCAGUGAGCCAUGAUCGCACCACUGCAUACCAGCCUGGGUGACAGAGAGAGACCCUAUCUCAAACAACAACAAAAACAAACCAAAAGGACAAAAACAAAAACAAAAAAAGAAAUACCUGAGACUAGGUAGUUUAUAAAGAAAAGAGUUUAAUUUGGCUCACAGUUCUGCAGGCUGUACAGGAAGUGUGGGGCUGGCAUCUGCCUCACUGAGGUGAGGGCCUCAGGAAGCUUACAGUCAUGGUAGAAGGUGAAGGAGGAGCAGAUGAAUCAUAUGGUGAGAGAGAAAGCCAGAGAGAGACAAGGGUGUGGUCCCAGACUCUUAAGCAAUCAAAUCUCAUGUGAACUAACUGAGCAAGAACUGACUUAUCACCAACGGGUGUUAACCAUUCAUGAGGGAUCUGCCCCCAUGAUCCCAAUCACCUCCCACCAGGAAAUCACAUUGGGAAUCACAUUUCAACAUGAGAUUUGGAGGGGACAAACAUCCAAACCAUAUCAUUCUGCCCCUGGCUCCCUGAAUCUCAUGUCCUUCUCACAUUUCAAAAUAUAAUCAUGCCUUCAUAAUAGUCCUCUGAAGUCUUAACUCAAAAGUCCCAAGUCCCAAGUCCAAAGACUCAUCUGGAGAUGAGUUUCUUCUACCUAUGAACCUGUAAGAUCAAAAACAAGUUAUUUACUUCCCAGACACAAUGGUGGUGCAGGCAUUGGGUAAACAUUCCUAUUUUAAAAGGGAGGAAUCGGCCAUAAGAAAGAGGCAACAGACCCCAAGCAAGUCCAAAAUCCAGCAGAGCAGCCAUUAAAUCUUAAAGCUCCAAAAUAAUCUCCUUUGACACCAUGUUCCCCAUCCAAAGAACACUAGUGCAGGGAUGGGCUCCCAGGGUCUUGGUAGCUCUGCCUCUGUGGCUUUGCUGAAUGCAGUCCACAUGGCUGCUCUGAUGGGCUAGAGUCCAGUGCCUGUGGCUUUUCCAGGCUGAGGAUGCAAGCUGCUGCUGGCUCUACCAUUCUUGGUUCUGGAUAAUGACAGUCCCCUUCCCAAAGCUCCAUUAGGCAGUGCCUUAGUGGGUAUUCUGUGUGGGGGCUCCAACCCCACAUUUCCUCUCAGGGCUGCCCUAGCAGAGGCUCUCUGCCAGGGCUCUGACCCUGGGGCAGACUUCUGCCCUAGCACCUAGGCUCUGAAAUUGAAGUGGAAGCUGCUAAGCCUCCUUCACUCUUACAUUCUGCAUGCCUACAGGCUUAACACUGUGUGGAAGUUGCCAAGGCUUACAGCUUUCACCCUCUGAAGCAGCAGCCUGAGCUAUACCUGGGCCCCUUUGAGCUGAGGCUGGAGCUGGAGCAGCUGGGAUGUGGGGAGCAGUGUUCUGAGGCUGAGCAGGACAGUGAGGCCUUGGGCCUGGCCUCUGAAACCAUUUUUUCCACCUAGGCCUCUGAGCCUGUGAUGGGAGGAGCUGUCUCUAAGAUCUCUAAAGUGACUUUGAGGCCUUUUGCUCAUUGUCUUGGAUAUUAGCCCUUGGCACCCUUUUAGUCACGCUAAUCCCCCUAGCAAGUGGUUGCUCCACAGCCUGUUUAUAUUCCUCUCUCAAUAAUGCUUUUUUAUUCUCUGCCACAUGGCUGGCUACGAGUUUUCCAAACUUGUAUGCUUUGUUUCCCUUUUAAAUGUAAGUUUCAGCUUUAAGUCAUUUCUUUGCUCCUAUAACUUAUUGCAGGCUGUUAGAAGCAGGCAGACUACUUUCUGGAUGCUUUGCUGCUUAGAAUUUUUUUCUGCCAGAUAUCCUAGGUCAUCACUCUUAAGUUCAAAUUUCCACAGAUCCCUAGGACAUGAACACAAUGCAGUCAAAUUCUUUGCUAGAGUGUAACAUGGGUGACUUUUACUCCAGUUCCCAAUAACUUCCUCAUUUCCUUCUGAGACCUCGACAGCCUGGCCUUCAGUAUCUGUAUUUCUACUAGCAUUUCAGUCACAACCAUUUAACCAGUCUCUAAGAAGUUCCACACUUUUCCUCAUCUUCCUAUCUUCUUCUGAGCCCUCCAAACUCUUCCAGCCUCUGCCUAUUACCCAGUUCUAAAGGCACUUCCAAAUUUUCAGGUAUCUUUAUAGCAAUGCCUGACUCCUCAGUACCAAUUUUCUGUGUUAGUCCAUUCUUGUGUUGCUAUAAAUAUCUAAGACUGGGUAAUUUAUAAAGAAAAGAGGUUUAUUUGGCUCACAGUUCUGCAAACUGUAUAGUAAGUAUGGUGCUGGCAUCUGCAUCUGGUGAGGGCCUCAGGAAGCUUACAGUCAUGGUAGAAGGUGAAUGGGGAGCAGAUGAAUCAUAUGGUGAGAGAGGAAGUCACAGAGAGAGACUAGGAUGUGGUACCAGACUCUUAAGCAAUCAAAUCUCACGUGAACUAACUGAGCAAGAAGUGACUUAUCACCAAGGGGUGUUAACCAUUCAUGAGGGAUCUGCCCACAUGAUCCAAUCACCUCCCACCAGGAAAUCACAUUGGGAAUCACAUUUCAACAUGAGAUUUGGAGGGGACAAACAUCCAAACCAUAUCAAGGUCAAAGUAUUUUUAAAAU